rnacentral:rRNA from 1 species
CCGGCGCACGGUGAGUAACGCGUAUGCAACUUACCUAUCAGAGGGGGAUAACCCGGCGAAAGUCGGACUAAUACCGCAUGAAGCAGGGGCCCCGCAUGGGGAUAUUUGCUAAAGAUUCAUCGCUGAUAGAUAGGCAUGCGUUCCAUUAGGCAGUUGGCGGGGUAACGGCCCACCAAACCGACGAUGGAUAGGGGCUCUGAGAGGAAGGUCCCCCACAUUGGUACUGAGACACGGACCAA